AAUGCACGAUACGAGUCUCAUCUCAAGUUAAUCCUGCUACUUUGUCAAAUACUUGUACAGAGUUUAACGUCAUCUCGCAAGUAUUCAGCCUUUUCAACUCAUUCAUUCCAUUCUUCACGGCCCGCUGUCUCCUGUUUACAACGAUGUCAAGAACUCCCAGGCUGAGAGUGCGAACGAAAGUUGAGAGUGGACUAAAUGGGGAUAAAAUAGCGAAAGUACAGCAGAAGUUCCAGCUAUAACUAACGUAAGGCAUUUAGGAACUAGGGCAGAAUUGUUUCUGCUGGAAUAGAAUCCACUCGCUCUAAUGUAUUUGUAUGGUAGCGCGUAUGCCAAAGUGGCGGGUCUAAACUACAAUUAAUAAACGUUAAACUUUGUAUUCUACGAAAUGUUACGCCGACCCAGGACAACAGGCAAGAUUUUUUAUGCAUACGCUUCGGCGACUACACACCUAGCCGCUAUGCUUUCCAGACGUAUCAUUUGACGCUCGUCGCAAGGUUAGAGCAGAGGAUGCAACAAGCCGGACCCUCUCUCUGCAUAAGAUGAUCGAAUAGGCGUUCUCCUUCUCUACAUGCUUCGUACUUGUCAAAACAUAAGCAACCUUUGAACAAAAAGCAGUUCCUGAAUUUCAAAACUCGAGCUCGAACAAAACGAGACUAGCACGUUUUCUAAAAUCUAUGCUGCUAUUGGAAAUUGGGAGCUGCGUCAAUUUGUUACGUAAAACCAUGAUUUAGGAAAUUUCGCGCAAAAUCUCUUAAGGCAGAGAUGCCCCUGGGUUAGACUGACGAUAACAACAACAACAACAACAACAACAACGACCGUAGCCAAGCACUGAACCAGUUUUUCUCCAGGACAAUGAUCCUUUCCUCAAUGCAAGCCAAAUCGAGAAGAAGAUAAGUUAAGAGCAUCGUAGAGGUAAAAGCGCAAAUAGAAGCUCCCAAAGCAAGCUAAAAAGGCAAGGCCCAGUUAAAUUCGGAUGUUGUUCCACCUUCUAUGGCCAAAAGCCUAGUAUCCACUGAGAAGCCACGACAGAAGAACACCAGCUAAUCCAUUGCCGAAUAGAUUUAGGUCCCAACAUGGUUCCACUGCGACCAAGAAAAAGUGUUAGGGGAAAUCGUGCUGUACGUGCGGCACCAUCUGACACGGCCAGUAACUACCAAGUGAGCAAAACAUGUACGCCAGUAAGAAGGGCAUCAUGCCAACUACACAGCUUGUUCGGUAUACCGCAAGAAACUAGCAAUAAUAAAGGAGGGUGGAACAGUGGGGCCUAAACAAAAGACCAAGGAGGCAAGCCCCACCAAUGAGAAUGAAAAGAAAAAGCAGGAGAGGAAAGCGAUUAAGGUAUUGGAGAACAGACACAACGUAUUCAUCAUGCUAGGAUCCAACCGACAGC